rnacentral:rRNA from 1 species
CACGCCCUAAACGAUGGAUACUAGGCGUAAGAGGUAUCGACCCCUCUUGUGCCGCAGCUAACGCAUUAAGUAUCCCGCCUGGGGAGUACGGCCGCAAGGUUGAAACUCAAAUGAAUUGACGGGGACCCGCACAAGCGGUGGAGCAUGUGGAUUAAUUCGAUACUAACCGAAGAACCUUACCCAGGUUUGACAUCGAUCGUAAUCCUAAGAAAUUGGGACCUCUUCCCACAAGGAAGACGUGAAGACACUUGU